rnacentral:rRNA from 1 species
AGAGUUUGAUCCUGGCUCAGAUUGAACGCUGGCGGCAGGCUUAACACAUGCAAGUCGAGCGGAAACGAUGAUAGCUUGCUAUCAGGCGUCGAGCGGCGGACGGGUGAGUAAUGCAUGGGAAUCUGCCCGAUAGAGGGGGAUAGCCCGGGGAAACCCGGAUUAACACCGCAUACACCCUACGGGGGAGCAGGGGAUCUUCGGACCUUGCGCUAUCGGAUGAGCCCAUGUCGGAUUAGCUAGUUGGUGAGGUAAGAGCUCACCAAGGCGACGAUCCGUAGCUGGUCUGAGAGGAUGAUCAGCCACACUGGGACUGAGACACGGCCCAGACUCCUACGGGAGGCAGCAGUGGGGAAUUUUGCACAAUGGGGGAAACCCUGAUCCAGCCAUGCCGCGUGUGUGAAGAAGGCCUUAGGGUUGUAAAGCACUUUCAGUAGGGAGGAAAAGUUAGUCGUUAAUAACGGCUAACCCUGACGUUACCUACAGAAGAAGCACCGGCAAACUCCGUGCCAGCAGCCGCGGUAAUACGGAGGGUGCGAGCGUUAAUCGGAAUUACUGGGCGUAAAGCGCGCGUAGGCGGCCUGAUAAGUUGGAUGUGAAAGCCCUGGGCUCAACCUAGGAACUGCAUUCAAAACUGUCAGGCUAGAGUAUGGUAGAGGAUAGUGGAAUUUCCGGAAAAACGGUGAAAUGCGUAGAUAUAGGAAGGAAUACCAGUGGCGAAGGCGGCCACCUGGACUGAUACUGACGCUGAGGUGCGAAAGCGUGGGGAGCGAACAGGAUUAGAUACCCUGGUAGUCCACGCCGUAAACGAUGUCAACUAGCCGUAGGGAUCCUUGAGGUCUUUGUGGCGCAGCUAACACAAUAAGUUGACCGCCUGGGGAGUACGGCCGCAAGGUUAAAACUCAAAUGAAUUGACGGGGGCCCGCACAAGCGGUGGAGCAUGUGGUUUAAUUCGAUGCAACGCGAAGAACCUUACCUACCCUUGACAUACAGAGAACUUUCCAGAGAUGGAUCGGUGCCUUCGGGAACUCUGAUACAGGUGCUGCAUGGCUGUCGUCAGCUCGUGUCGUGGAUGUUGGGUCAAAGUCCCGUAACGAGCGCAACCCUUAUCCUUAGUUGCUACCAUUUAGUUGGGCACUCUAAGGAGACUGCCGGUGAUAAACCGGAGGAAGGUGGGGACGACGUCAAGUCAUCAUGGCCCUUAUGGGUAGGGCUACACACGUGCUACAAUGGCCGGUACAGAGGGCUGCUAACUCGCGAGAGUACGCUAAUCCCUUAAAGCCGGUCCUAGUCCGGAUUGCAGUCUGCAACUCGACUGCAUGAAGCUGGAAUCGCUAGUAAUCGCGGAUCAGAAUGCCGCGGUGAAUUCGUUCCCGGGCCUUGUACACACCGCCCGU